UACGAAGGGGGCUAGCGUUGCUCGGAAUGACUGGGCGUAAAGGGCGCGUAGGCGGUUUGUACAGUCAGAUGUGAAAUUCCUGGGCUCAACCUGGGGGCUGCAUUUGAUACGUAUGGACUGGAGUGAGGAAGAGGGUCGUGGAAUUCCCAGUGUAGAGGUGAAAUUCGUAGAUAUUCGGAAGAACACCAGUGGCGAAGGCGGCUCACUGGUCCGGUACUGACGCUGAGGUGCGAAAGCGUGGGGAGCAAACAGG
rnacentral:rRNA from 1 species